CUGGACCAGGGUGAAGAGAUGGACUCUCCUCAGAGGAACGUGACGCAGGAAGGAGAAGUCUGGCUGGUGCUUGGCUGGCAUCAGAUACAGCUUGAUACGCUCCCAGAACUAGGAGGGAGAGAGGAGGAACUGGGGCUGCUCUCCUGGGGCGCUGGACUCACUCUCCAUCUUCAGAGAGUCGAUGUGGGCGAUGGAGAUGACAGUUGCAGCCACGUACCAGGGCAGGCCCAGGAAGGAACACACUGCCAUCAGAAUACCCACCCAGAACAGGUCCAGAUGCCACGAACAGAGUGUGAUGGAGAGGAUUCGCCGACGGGCUACGCUCCCUUGGGAGAGACAAGCCUAAGUAAGUAAGUGUGUUCAUGGUUGCAGUUGUGUUGUGUUGUCAUUGUGGCCACACUGUACCUUGAGUUUGUUCUCUUUGCGGUUGACGAUGACGGCGCUGAUCUGUUGGUCCAUGAAGAUGAGGAUGGUGACCAGGAGAGCAGGGACGGCGCUGGCCACAUACACCCACCACGGGUUCUUACCAAACGGCAUCACCACCCAGCCACGGAAGAAGGAAGAGAUCGAGAAGGAGAGAACGAGCGGAAGAGAGGGUGUGACAGAGCAAGAGAUGAGGGGAGGAGAGGAACCUUGACUUCAGUGGGCACGUGCAGUUUGGGC